rnacentral:tRNA from 1 species
GGACAACGGCGAUAUUAUGGAGUCGCCUUCGCAUGGCGGAGGUCGGGGGUUCGAAUCCCCUCGGCUCCA